rnacentral:lncRNA from 1 species
CUCUUGGCAAGGGUACAGGAGCACCAGCAACAUGGAUGAGCAUUUACUCUGUGCCAGAGCCUGGGCCAGGUACUCUCUAAACCUGAUUUUACCACAUCUACACUUGGAGAUGGGAAAACCAAGGCUCAGAGAGAAGAAACCUGAUUUAGACACACAUCUUGUAAGUGGCAGAUCCAGGUUUCAGGAUUCUGAGUGGCACCCAGACAGAUCAACCCAUAACCUCAGUCUCCAGGACAAGCAUCAAGUGCCUUGACCACUGCACCUCUCAACCAUCCUGCACCCCAGAAAAGUGCACAAGGUACAAGAAAUCCUUCAGGUCAAGGACAAAGGCCCAGUGAAGUGACUCUCAUUUUUCUGGAACCUUCUUCUGUUGCCAGUCACCUGCUGCUGGGGCCCUUUUAGCAAGUGGUAGAUAAAGAAAAAUCCCUAAAAAUAAAGUAUAAUUUAAAAAAACCUUUU